AUGCCCAAGGGGAAGGUCAGCUCGGCGGAAGGCGCGGUGAAGAAGGAGCCCAAGAGGAGAUCUGCAAGGCUGUCAGCGAAACCUGCUCCUGCGAAGGUGGAAGCGAAGCCCAAAAAGGCAGCAGCAAAGGAUAAAUCUUCAGACAAAAAAGUGCAACCAAAAGGGAAAAGGGGAGCAAAGGGAAAACAGGCCGAAGUGACUAACCAAGAAACUAAAGAAGAUUUACCUGCAGAAAAUGGAGAAACUAAAACUGAGGAGAGCCCAGCCUCUGAUGAAGCAGGAGAGAAAGAAGUCAAGUCUGAUUAAUAUCAUAUACCAUGUCUUAUCAGUGGUCCCUGUCUCCCUUCUUGUACAAUCCAGAGGAAUAUUUUUAUCAACUAUUUUGUAAAUGCAAGUUUUUUAGUAGCUCUAGAAACAUUUUUAAGAAGGAGGGAAUCCCACCUCAUCCCAUUUUUUAAGUGUAAAUGAGAUUUUUUUUAAGAGGUAAAAUCAUUUGCUGGUUGUUUAUUUUUUGGUACAACCAGAAAAUAGUGUGGGAUAUUGAAUUAUGGGAGGCUUUGACUGUCUUGGGUGUCAGCUUAACAUUCCAUAGAUGGGGGCUAGUUUUUAUAUC